rnacentral:lncRNA from 1 species
GGGUCCAAAAGUAUCAGAUUUUUUAUUUAUACUUCAGAAAUGUAAUCAAGUGAAUGAAAUGGUUUAUAUACAUUUUUACAUCCAACAGCAGUGACACACUGUUCAUACAUGAUUCUAUAGGAAAAUGUACAUCCUUCUUUUUUUUUCCUAAGUAAGAUCUGCCAAAUGUUCAUGGACAAAAACCUCUCAUUGCAAACUGAACUAGUGAAAUGACAAGGGUAAGCCACGUUUCUUUCCAUAGCUUUAUGGCAUUAAUAAAGCUACUGUUUGAAUGCAUGUUAAUAUUGUCAUGUGUAGGAUGAAGUCUCACAAAUUCCCCAAAAUGUGAAUGAUCAAUUUGAAAACUUUACAAAAUUGUCUAAUAGAUUUUGUGACUGAAUCUGCCCAGGGAUGUUAAAGUCCAGGAUGGUUUAUUUUAAGUAUACUUCUGUAGCUCUAUUCUUAGCUGACUAUUCUUCGAUUCCCUAAUCACAAAGAAAUGCAUUCUUAUGAAGUUAAGCAGCUGUAGACACAGAAUGCUGAUGACAUUUUCUCCAUAUCUGAGUGAUCUAAAGAAAACCCAGUUAGUGGUAAUUCUACCAAAUACUUGUAACAUUCACAUGAAAUUUUAAUUGAUUUUCAAACAGUACAACUGUGCCAUGAA